UACGUAGGGCGCAAGCGUUGUCCGGAAUUAUUGGGCGUAAAGAGCUCGUAGGCGGCCUGUCGCGUCCGCUGUGAAAUCCCAGGGCUUAACCCUGGGCGUGCAGUGGAUACGGGCUGGCUGGAGGCAGGCAGGGGAGAACGGAAUUCCCGGUGUAGCGGUGAAAUGCGCAGAUAUCGGGAGGAACACCGGUGGCGAAGGCGAAUCUCUGGACAACAACUGACGCUGAGGCACGAAGGCUAGGGGAGCAAACGGG
rnacentral:rRNA from 1 species